rnacentral:rRNA from 1 species
UACAGAGGUCUCAAGCGUUUGUUCGGAUUCAUUGGGCGUAAAGGGUGCGUAGGCGGCGCGGUAAGUCGGGUGUGAAAUCUUGGAGCUUAACUCCGAAACUGCAUUCGAUACUGCCGUGCUUGAGGACUGGAGAGGAGACUGGAAUUUACGGUGUAGCGGUGAAAUGCGUAGAUAUCGUAAGGAAGACCAGUGGCGAAGGCGGGUCUCUGGACAGUUCCUG